rnacentral:tRNA from 1 species
CGUCGUCUUGGCCGCCGGCUUCGCGGCACCGCGCUUCGCGCCGCGCGCGGACUUGCCGCCCACCGCGAGGCUCGCACGCUCGAUGUGCGCGCCGCCGGCC